AUUGAACGCUGGCGGCAGGCCUAACACAUGCAAGUCGAGCGGAUGAAGGGAGCUUGCUCCUGGAUUCAGCGGCGGACGGGUGAGUAAUGCCUAGGAAUCUGCCUGGUAGUGGGGGAUAACGUCCGGAAACGGGCGCUAAUACCGCAUACGUCCUGAGGGAGAAAGUGGGGGGUCUUCGGACCUCACGCUAUCAGAUGAGCCUAGGUCGGAUUAGCUAGUUGGUGGGGUAAAGGCCUACCAAGGCGACGAUCCGUAACUGGUCUGAGAGGAUGAUCAGUCACACUGGAACUGGGACACGGUCCAGACUCCUACGGGAGGCAGCAGUGGGGAAUAUUGGACAAUGGGCGAAAGCCUGAUCCAGCCAGGCCACGUGUGUGAAGAAGGUCUUCGGAUUGUAAAGCACUUUAAGUUGGGAGGAAGGGCAGUAAGUUAAUACCUUGCUGUUUUGACGUUACCAACAGAAUAAGCACCGGCUAACUUCGUG
rnacentral:rRNA from 1 species